GCCUGUAGCUCAGCCGGUUAGAGCAGCCGAUUUUAAUCGGCAGGUAGCGGGCUCAGGUCCUGCAACCGGCACCA
rnacentral:tRNA from 1 species